AUAAUACAUAUAUAAACUGAAAAAUGGAUAUAUAAUUGGAGCAGUUCAUUCAAGAAUUAUGUCAUUAAGGUGUGUUGAUGUGCAGGCUUUUUUUAAAAACAUUUUGAAUAGGUAAUUGGGUAUUGAUACAAUACUAGUAUGAUUGACAACUGUCAUUAUCACUAAAUAAUCAGAGACAAGGUAGACCUUUAAUUACAAUGACCCACCUCCUAAACUGUCAAUAAAUUGACCACAUUACCUCAGUUUUACAUAAUUAUACAGACCAGUCACACUGCAAUAUACAUUCUAAUAUACAAAUAUUUGACCUCAAAAUUGAAUACACAAAUGUAUUAUAUUAGAUGUUUAAUAUAUAUAAAGAUGAUAGAUUUAUUUAUUGCCUAUUAGUUUUGAUCUACAUUACAUAAAGUGAUUCUG
rnacentral:lncRNA from 1 species